UCUCAAUCUAGCUAUAGACG
rnacentral:snRNA from 1 species